rnacentral:lncRNA from 1 species
CCUGCGCCUGCCGCGGGGCGGUGGAGCCGGGGCCCGCCCGCUUGUGGAUUACAGCUGGAGCCGCCGCCCAGGCGGCCGCGGAGCCUCGCUGGGUCGCCGCGUUUGCCCCCUCUUUUGUUUUUGGAGGGGGCCGGCCGGGAGAGCGUCCCCCGCCCAAGGAGGCGCCGCGAGCAUGGGCGAGUGAAGCCGCGGGGGCUCCCGCCGGCGCCGCCGCGCUAGGGAUGGUGCGCGCCGGCGGGGGGAGGCGGCGGGCAUGAGGCGCGCAGGAUGGGCGCCAACAACGGCAAGCAGUGCGGCAGCGACGGCAAAGGCAGCUCAAGCAUCUCAUCCGAUGUGAGUUCAAGUACAGAUCACACACCCACCAAAGCCCAGAAGAAUGCAGCUACCAGUGAAGGUAGGCAUCUGGUAUUCAUUACCCAGGUCCAGGCCUCCCAGCAUGAUGUUAGCUAUUUUCAGA